UGCAUCAGCAGUUUUUCAGAUCGGAAUAAAGAAGAAUUUUUCAUGAAACUUACAUUGUAGUUUGUCAGAAGCCACACAGGAGACUUGAGCUGAGAUCUGAGAUCUGAUAUUUUCUUGUGUGAAAAUUCGUCUCUGUUCUACUCGACCAUGAAGCUGGAUAUUAUUAAUGUACGAUAUUGAACUUGGACAGGUUUAAUAGAUUUGCUGUCAUCUAUCCAGUUUGAUUUUAUGACGUUUCCAUCUUCCUAGGUUCCUCCACACGGGAUGUAGGCCCAUCGCUCGGAUUGAAGAAGUCCAGCUCUCUUGAAAGUCUCCAGACUGCAGUUGCCGAGGUUACACUCAAUGGGGAUUUGCCCUUCCAUAGACCCCGCCCCCGUAUCAUCAGAGGGCGAGGCUGUAACGAGAGCUUCAGGGCAGCUAUCGACAAAUCCUACGACCGCCCGGCCGCCACAGAAGACAACGACGAGGGCAUGGAAACAUUGGAAGAGGACACAGAGGAGAGUUCCCGAUCGGGGCGAGACUCUGUGUCCACAGUGGCCGACCAAACCCCGCUGACCGGCCCAGAAAAACCUCUGGUCAACGGCACCAAUCGCACCAAAGAG